UUAGCGCAUGACGACAAGCAAGACAGGGACUCUGCAGCGCCCCCGAUUCAAAUCGAAUCGGAGGCGCGGAUGAUGCAUCCGUCUAGGGGAAUCUCUGAUGCUAG